rnacentral:rRNA from 1 species
UAUUUUAAAGAGAGUUUGAUCCUGGCUCAGGACGAACGCUGGCGGCGUGCCUAAUACAUGCAAGUCGAACGAACGGAGGAAGAGCUUGCUCUUCCAAAGUUAGUGGCGGACGGGUGAGUAACACGUGGGCAACCUGCCUGUAAGUUGGGGAUAACUCCGGGAAACCGGGGCUAAUACCGAAUGAUAAAGUGUGGCGCAUGCCACGCUUUUGAAAGAUGGUUUCGGCUAUCGCUUACAGAUGGGC